ensembl:lncRNA uncharacterized LOC115491087
GGGGGGGGGGGGGCAGAAACAGCAAAGGGCCACCUUUGCCUCUGUUACUCCUUCUGCUGCAAGUUUGCUCUGAGGACCUUCCCACUGGGGCAUUUCUCAUCAGUCCUCUGCGCAGGGAAAAGCAGUGCAGGGACAGCUCUGGGUCUUCUCCGUGCUUCUCUGCGAGGUGCCUCCAGCGGAACAUGCGCAGGAGCCUGGCUCUCUCAAGCCACGCUGCCUGCACUGGAGAACCAGAAGGACUGCUACUGCCUCUGAACCAGAAGGCUCUCCUCCGGCUCUGACAGGAGCAAGAGCUUACAAGAUACUCGGGUGCUCCUGACAAGUGGCCACAGGAGAAGGCAGGGAGAUGAGCCUAGUCUACACUGACAGUGAAGCAGAAGUAGAAUGCUCAUUAACAUCUGGGGGAAGGAGAUCCUCCGAGAUGAACUGUGAUCAGGAAUGAAUGUCCGAUGAACUCCAAGAACAACUGUUUUCCAAUUCAUCUAUUCUGUAACUUAUAGAUAAUAUAGGAAGAGAAAGUCACUACAGGAACUGAGCAACAUCUCUGAGGAUAAUCAAAAGACACGUAACACAAUAACAUUUCAUUUUACAACAACGUGAUUAAAACAUAGCCGG